rnacentral:rRNA from 1 species
CCUACGGGAGGCAGCAGUGGGGAAUAUUGCACAAUGGGGGAAACACUGAUGCAGCGAAGCAGCGUGAGUGAAGAAGUAAUUAGUGAUGUAAAGCUCUAUCAGCAGGGAAGAAAAUGACGGUACCUGAGUAAGAAGCCCCGGCUAACUACGUGCCAGCAGCCGCGGUAAUACGUAGGGGGCAAGCGUUAUCCGGAUUUACUGGGUGUAAAGGGAGCGUAGACGGCAGUGCAAGACUGGCGUGAAAGGCGGGGGCUCAACCCCCGGACUGCUCUGGAAACUGUACGGCUGGAGUGCAGGAGAGGUAAGUGGAAUUCCUAGUGUAGCGGUGAAAUGCUUAGAUAUUAGGAGGAACACCAGUGGCGAAGGCGGCUUACUGGACUGUAACUGACGUUGAGGCUCGAAAGCGUGGGUAGCAAACAGGAUUAGAUACCCGGGUAGUC